AGGAUUAACGCUGGCGGCGUGCCUAACACAUGCAAGUCGAACGAGGUAGCAAUACCUAGUGGCAGACGGGUGAGUAACGCGUGGUCAACCUACCGUUGAGUGGGGGAUAACUAGCCGAAAGGUUAGCUAAUACCGCAUACGUCUCCGAGGGGCAUCCCUUGGCGAUAAAAGGAGCAAUCCGCUCGAUGACGGGACCGCGUCCCAUUAGCUAGAUGGUGGGGUAACGGCCUACCAUGGCACCGAUGGGUAGCUGGUUUGAGAGAGCGACCAGCCACACUGGGACUGAGAAACGGCCCAGACUCCUACGGGAGGCAGCAGUGAGGAAUUUUCCGCAAUGGGCGCAAGCCUGACGGAGCGACGCCGCGUGUGGGAAGAAGGCCUUCGGGUCGUAACCACUGUCGAAGGGGACGAUAAUGACGGUACCCUUGGAGGAAGCCCGGCUAACUACGCGCCAGCGAGCCGC
rnacentral:rRNA from 1 species